rnacentral:rRNA from 1 species
AAGACCUUGCGCUUUUGGAGCGGCCGAUGUCUGAUUAGCUAGUUGGUGGGGUAAUGGCCUACCAAAGCUUCGAUCAGUAGCUGGUCUGAGAGGACGGCCAGCCACACUGGGACUGAGACACGGCCCAGACUCCUACGGGAGGCAGCAGUGGGGAAUUUUGGACAAUGGGCGCAAGCCUGAUCCAGCCAUGCCGCGUGAGUGAAGAAGGCCUUCGGGUUGUAAAGCUCUUUCAGCCGGGAAGAAAAGGCUGCGACUAAUAUUCGCAGUUCAUGACGGUACCGGAAGAAGAAGCACCGGCUAACUACGUGCCAGCAGCCGCGGUAAUACGUAGGGUGCGAGCGUUAAUCGGAAUUACUGGGCGUAAAGGGUGCGCAGGCGGUUUUGUAAGUCAGAUGUGAAAUCCCCGGGCUUAACCUGGGAACU